GCCGUUGUAGCUCAACUGGUAGAGCAACUGACUUGUAAUCAGUAGGUUGGGGGUUCAAGUCCUCUCGACGGCA
rfam:Paenibacillus pectinilyticus strain KCTC13222 scaffold18, whole genome shotgun sequence.